rnacentral:lncRNA from 1 species
CCCAUACUGGUCUAUACUGGUCCAUACUGGUUUCCCCGGGGGGGGGGGGGGGGGGGGGGGGGGGGGGGGGGGGGGGGGGGGGGGGGGGGGGGGGGGGGGGGGGGGGGGGGGGGGGGGGGGGGGGGGGGGGGGGGGGGGGGGGGGGGGGGGGGGGGGGGGGGGGGGGGGGGGGGGGGGGGGGGGGGGGGGGGGGGGGGGGGGGGGGGGGGUGGCUGCAGCCAAUGGGGGAGGCGCUGUGUGACGUCAUCGCCGGCAAGAUCGCCUGCCUGAGAUCGCGCCGGGACGACGGCGACGAGACCUCCCAAGUCUCCGAACUCCGCGAAUCCGCCUCCGAUUGGCUGCUGCAGCUGGGCGCUGCCAUGGCAGGAAAUGACGUCACCCAGAACGGAAAUGACGUCACCCAGACAGGAAAUGACGCGUUUUUCCCGCCCCACCUCUUCCGCCGGAUCCUCCCCUCGCUAUUGGCCCAUCUGGCCGACCCCGCCCACCCGGGGGCGCGCUCCUGGGCGGGCGCCGUGAUUGGCCAGCUGGGCCACGCCCUCGGUCCCGGGGCCACGCCCUUUUUGCCAAAUUUGGGAAGCGCCUUCAGAUUGGCCGUCACGGACCCCGAGCCGGAAGUGAGAGCCAACGCCUUCUACGCCAUUGGUCGGAUCGGGGAGGCCGUGGGACACGCCCACCACGAGUAUCCACCAAUCACCGGGCCGGGUUCGGUGCUCCCGCUCCUGCUGGGGGCGCUGCCGCUCUCGGAGGAUCUCGAGGAGGAGGAGCCGGUUCUGCGCUUCCUGCUGGGGGCGGGGCCUGAGCGGGUGAGACCCGAAACUCCCCAGUUCCACCCCAAAUUCCUGCCCGAAAAACUGGGGGGGGAUUCGGGAAAAAUUGGGGAAUAAUCCGGAAAAAAUUGGGGAAAUUUUGGGGGGAAAAUUUAUUUGAGAUUUUGGAAAAAAUUGACCCAAAAUUCACCCGAAAAUCCCCAAAGAAUCCCAAAAAAAUCUCAAAAAAUCCCCCCAGAAUUCCAAAAAAUAAAAAAAAAACCCCAAAAAUUCCAAAAAAUCCUUAAAAAAUCCAAAAAAAUUCCCCAAAAAAUCCCGAAAAAUCCCAAAAAAAUUCCAAAAACUUCCCGAGAAAUUCCGAAAAUAAUAAAAAAAGGGGGGGGGGGGGGGGGGGGGGGGGGGGGGGGGGGGGGGGGGGGGGGGGGGGGGGGGGGGGGGGGGGG